rnacentral:rRNA from 1 species
UAGGGAAUCUUCCGCAAUGGACGCAAGUCUGACGGAGCAACGCCGCGUGAGUGAAGAAGGUUUUCGGAUCGUAAAACUCUGUUGUAAGAGAAGAACAAAUUGUAGAGUAACUGCUACAGUCUUGACGGUAUCUUACCAGAAAGCCACGGCUAACUACGUGCCAGCAGCCGCGGUAAUACGUAGGUGGCAAGCGUUGUCCGGAUUUAUUGGGCGUAAAGGGGGCGCAGGCUGCUUCUUAAGUCUGAUGUGAAAGCCCACGGCUUAACCGUGGAAGUGCAUUGGAAACUGGGAAGCUUGAGUACAGAAGAGGAAAGUGGAACUCCAUGUGUAGCGGUGGAAUGCGUAGAUAUAUGGAAGAACACAAGUGGCGAAAGCGACUUUCUGGUCUGUCACUGACGCUGAGGCCCGAAAGCGUGGGUAGCAAACAGG